UACGGAGGGGGCUAGCGUUGUUCGGAAUUACUGGGCGUAAAGCGCACGUAGGCGGCUUUGUAAGUUAGAGGUGAAAGCCCGGAGCUCAACUCCGGAAUUGCCUUUAAGACUGCAUCGCUCGAAUCAUGGAGAGGUGAGUGGAAUUCCGAGUGUAGAGGUGAAAUUCGUAGAUAUUCGGAAGAACACCAGUGGCGAAGGCGACUCACUGGACAUGUAUUGACGCUGAGGAGCGAAAGCGUGGGGAGCGAACAGG
rnacentral:rRNA from 1 species